rnacentral:rRNA from 1 species
UUGACCUCGGAUCAGGUAGGGAUACCCGCUGAACUUAAGCAUAUCAAUAAGCGGAGGAAAAGAAACCAACAGGGAUUGCCCUAGUAACGGCGAGUGAAGCGGCAACAGCUCACAUUUGAAAAUCUGGCGUCAUUUGUCGUCCGAGUUGUAUCUUGCAGACGGCGCUUUGGCAUCGGCACCGGUCCCAGUUCCUUUGGAUUAGGCCGUCACAUGAGGGGUGAGAAUC